CCUGGAUGGGGGCGAGGGAGCAGAUCUGUGCCAGACAUCCCGAGGUGCUGUCCCUAUCUAUCCCUGGGGGACUGAGGGAAGCAUCUGGCCUAGUGAAGCCCAAACCACCAAGUAAAAGGCCAAGAUCAACUGUGCAUCCUGAUGAUGCUCGCUUUAAAUGACCCUUCGGAGACUGUAGAUGUAACGGUCUUAGCAGGACUGGAGAAAACUUCAGCUACAGGAGACUUAAUGGGAAGAGACGAGGCUGCAACUUCAAAACAUCACAGAGGAGCUGUGGGGCGCUUCCUUCAAGCGAAAAGGUGCAAUCCUGCACAGUAAGGAAAAGUAUGAGCCCACAGGUGGUUGAACCCUUGGGUGUGGAACCACAAAUACAGAAGAGAGCCAUCUUAUUCUGCUACAUCAGCCAGAAGUGACUGCCAUUUCCUCCGCCUACUGUGUCUCUUGACUCUGGCCCCUGAGGGCUGCCCUUGAACCCCAAUGAGAGUCUUCUCCGAAGACUGACUGACACCUGUGGGACUAGGUGCUGGGCAGAGAAUGCAGAUAAGACCCACCU